UACGUAGGGUGCAAGCGUUAAUCGGAAUUACUGGGCGUAAAGCGUGCGCAGGCGGUUUUGUAAGUCUGUCGUGAAAUCCCCGGGCUCAACCUGGGAAUUGCGAUGGAGACUGCAAGGCUGAGAAUCUGGCAGAGGGGGGUAGAAUUCCACGUGUAGCAGUGAAAUGCGUAGAGAGUGUGGAGGAACACCGAUGGCGAAGG
rnacentral:rRNA from 1 species